rnacentral:rRNA from 1 species
UACGUAGGUGGCAAGCGUUGUCCGGAAUUAUUGGGCGUAAAGCGCGCGCAGGCGGCUUCUUAAGUCCAUCUUAAAAGUGCGGGGCUUAACCCCGUGAUGGGAUGGAAACUGGGAGGCUGGAGUAUCGGAGAGGAAAGUGGAAUUCCUGGUGUAGCGGUGAAAUGCGUAGAGAUUAGGAAGAACACCGGUGGCGAAGGCGACUUUCUGGACGACAACUGACGCUGAGGCGCGAAAGCGUGGGGAGCAAACAGG